rnacentral:lncRNA from 1 species
CUUUUGAAGACCUUGGAUCCCCAGAUUCCCUUGGAACUCAUAACUAUACGCAGGUGAAGACAGACACGGGUGCGAAGGAAUGAAGCACUUAACGAAAAUAACUGAGCUGUUUGCGGCUCCCCCCUGCGGUUUACUGAGUGGUCUGCCCCGGCCCGCCCCGGCUGGCUGCUCUGCGUGUGUAUUUGUAUGUGUACUGUAUGUAAAAGGCGGGGAGAGAGGAAGCGAUUGUUGUGGAUCGGGUUUGGGGGCGGUAUCGAGCCCUGUAGCCUUCGGCAGCUUGUUAGAGAAACCUGCGAUCUAAACUCAGGCAAAGAAAAGGGUUGGAGGACUGAAAGCUGCGCUUCCGUUCGUCUCCGGGGACCUAACCCCACAAACACCGGGCUGGAGGGCGAGCCCCGCCGGCGUGCUUCCUGAGGAACCCGGCCCGUUUCC